CACUCGGUGCGCGCGUCCUUGCGGGCCAGUAGCCGGAGGCACAGCUCGGUGGUGUCGCCGUGUCAGUGGAGGUGGCCGCAUCCCAGGCUGGGCGCUCGCUGCAGUCCGGCUCCCCGCGGCGGCGGGGUCCUCCCGGCGUCCCGGUGCUCGCGCCCGGGUCUGCGCGCCCGCCCUCCGGCUCACGCCCUUUGGAGCCGCGCGUCCGGGACUGCGGCAGCGCACGCAAGGGUACUCGGUUGGCCGCGGGGCGGCAGGAGGCAGAGGCGGCCGGAGUGAGCCGGAGGUAUGGGCCAGGCGGCCUGGAAGGGGUUCGCCCAGUCGCUGUUCGACUAUAAGACCGCAAAGUUCGUGGUCGCCAAGAGCAAGAAGGUGGGGCUGCUCUACCGGCUGCUGCAGCUCACCAUCCUGUUGUACUUGCUCAUAUGGGUGUUUCUGAUAAAGAAGAGUUACCAAGAUAUUGACACUUCCCUGCAGAGUGCUGUGGUCACCAAAGUCAAGGGCGUGGCCUAUACCAAUACCACUAUGCUCGGAGAACGGCUCUGGGAUGUAGCCGACUUUGUCAUUCCAUCUCAGGGGGAGAACGUUUUCUUCGUGGUCACCAACCUGAUCGUGACUCCUAACCAGCGGCAGGGCAUCUGUGCUGAGCGUGAAGGCAUUCCUGAUGGCGAGUGUUCUGAGGACACUGACUGCAGUGCUGGGGAGCCUGUUGUCGCUGGACAUGGGCUGAAAACUGGUCGCUGUCUACGGGUGGGGAACUCUACCCAGGGUACCUGUGAGAUCUUCGCUUGGUGCCCAGUGGAGACAAUGUCCAUGCCAACGGAUCCCCUCCUGAAGGAUGCUGAAGGCUUCACCAUUUUCAUAAAGAACUUCAUUCGCUUCCCCAAGUUCAACUUCUCCAAAGCCAAUGUGCUAGAAACAAACAACAAAGACUUCCUGAAAACCUGUCACUUCAGCUCCAAGAACCUCUACUGUCCCAUCUUCCGGCUGGGGUCCAUUGUCCGCUGGGCAGGGGCUGACUUCCAGGAUAUAGCCCUGAAGGGUGGUGUGAUAGGAAUCCAUAUCGAAUGGGACUGUGACCUCGAUAAAGCUGCCUCUAAAUGCAACCCACGCUAUUAUUUCAACCGUCUGGACAACAAGCACACCAAAUCCAUCUCCUCUGGGUACAACUUCAGGUUCGCCAGGUAUUACCGUGACCCUAACGGGGUAGAGUUCCGUGACCUGAUGAAAGCCUAUGGCAUCCGCUUUGACGUAAUCGUCAACGGUAAGGCGGGAAAAUUCAGCAUCAUCCCUACCGUCAUCAACAUAGGUUCUGGGCUGGCGCUCAUGGGUGCCGUGAGUACCUCCCCUGCCUUGCUGGCUUCCUGGGGAAAGGGAGGUAGAGCAUGCUGAGCCCAGCACACAGGAGGCCUGUGAGGUCACAGGGACAAGGGUGAUGUCACACGCUGCCCGCUCCCCCAGGGGACACUGACUGCGUAGCUCUGACUGUGAGCUGGAGUGGAGUGUGCCACAGGUCGAUUGCCCUCCAGUCCGGUGUGGGCUGGAAGCUUUGGGAUUCUGGGUCUAAAAAUCUCCAUCUCCAGUACUGGUAAUGGGAAACUGAUUAGGCUAUGCCAAUUUGAGCAGUGUUGACAUUCGGGGGCAGGGGCUUCUUUGCUUUGGGGGUGUCCUGUGCAAUUGGUUUAAGUGAAUCCCUAAUCUUCAUUCACUAGUGGGACCUUCCCACAGCUGUGUUGCUCAACAAUGGUCUCCGUUUGAGAACCUGCAUUUGAGAGGGUGAGAGGCAGGGUAGAUAGUCUAGUAAUCCUUUGGGGUGGGCGUCUAGCCACCCAUAGUAGGGAAUGGCUAGAGUUCAGGGAGGGCUUCCUGCAGAUGCCCGUCAUACCCUUGGCACUUCGGGGAAGAGGUUAAAUGUGGGAGUUGUAGGAGUCCAGGUUGGGAGCUCAUGCCAACACAGCCAGUUCCCUGCCAAGACUGCCAGAGGUGGCUUCUCUCCCCAGCCUAGGCAGCCCAAGCAGCUACUAGAAGAUUCUGUCAGGACCCGGGAUAGACUUUGCAUUGAGACUGGGAAGCCUGUCUUGACAAGGGACUAAGAGUGAUCCCUAACAAUGGGCGGUGGUGGCACACACCUUUAAUCCCAGCACUCAGGAGGCAGAGGCAGGCGGAUCUCUGAGUUUGAGGCCAGCCUGUUCUGCUGAGUGAGUUCUAGGAUAGCCAGGGCUACACAGAGAAACACAGUCUCAAAAGACAAAACAAAACAGUGGUCCCUAAGUGGAGUGUUUUGGAUUCAAGCAGUCUUCCUUAGGGAUGCCUCACUGUGUGCAGGUAUAGCGCUCAUUCAAUGUAGGUAAAUUCUGAAGUCUGGGGACACAGCUGUGAAGUGAAGGCAAGGGUGCACUGUGUCAAUGGAGGGUUCUCUGUCCCACCCUGACCCACAGCCACUUCUAAGCAAUCACUCAGAGGCUUAAUAUUAAUUACAGAAUGUUUGGCCUAUAGUUCAGGCUUAUCCCUAACUGGCUUUUACAUUUAAAUUAACCCAUUUCUAUUGAUCAAUGUAUUGCCACAUGUCCGUGGUGCUACUGAUCUGCUGGCAUCUUGCUCUUUGGGCAGCUGGCUGCUGUCCUUUCGACUUUGUCCUUCUCUUCUCUUUAUCUCUGUUUGGCUUUCCUCCCUAGCUGUAUUCUGCCUGGCUAUAGGCCAACUCAGCUUUUGUUAUCUACCAACGAGAGCAACACAAAUACACAGCGUACAGAAAAGUUAUCCCACAGUAUUAUGGAAGGUGGUGGUGAAGGGUGAGGGAAAAUGUAGGAACGAAGAAUUGAUAAAUGACAUUUCUGGAGUCUAGGGAAGACAGGAAGAAGGGCACACUCUACUCAGGGCCUCCUCUGCCUUCAGGAACACCUCUAUCCCUGCUCCAUAGGUAGAGUCGCCCUCUGUUGGAGCAGACUGGCAUUACAUACACCGUGCUCUGAUCUGUGUUCAGGGGUGAUUAGUCCAUGACAACUGGAUCUGCUCAGGCUUCCUGUCUUUUUCUGACCACAGUUGUAAUGUCCUUGUUGUCAAGGUUAAGAUGCCUGCUGGUCCAUCUUACACCGGCUAUCAGGGCUCUCUUCAAAUGAGCACAGCUGCUGCUCUCUUGCCUCCCCGCAAAGGACCAGGACCAAUGUCUACAAGACAUUCUCAGACACGCUGGUUCUCACCCCCACCGGAAGCACCUUUUGCUCUUCCCCCACAGGCCCUGAUCAUUUCCUGGUGAUGACAAGCCUGCCUUUCCCUUUGCCAUGCAAUUCCAGGCCUCUAGUUCAGCGACCCAGGCUGAGUGAACGCUGCCCUUCACCUGCUCCCAAUCCCAUUCCCAUUACAGGGCUGAUGACUAUAUCACAAUCUGCUUGUUUCCUGCAGCACAGCAAGUCCCUAGGUCUCUGUGGUCCACACCUUCCUGGCCCCCCAGUGCAAAUCUGGCCGGUAAUAGAUUCUUAGCAGAUAUGUUGAAGUUAGAUUUGGUCAGGGCAGGAAGGUGCGCUUGGGCCAUGGAAUCAGGAGGCACUCCCAGAGCUCACCUGUGUCUACCAUGGAGCGGCUUUGUGCCCCUGGACAUCACUCCUUUCUGGGAUGUUUCCUUUUUUGUUGUUGUUGUUUUUGUUUGUUUGUUUGUUUUUGUUUUUCAAGACAGGGUUUCUCUGUAGCUUUGGAGUCUGCUCUGGAACUAGCUUUUGUAGACCAGGCUGGCCUCGAACUCACAAAGAUCUGCCUGUCUCUGCGUCUCUGCCUCCUGAGUGCUGGGUUUAAAGGCGUGCGCCACCACUGCCCCGGCCUGGGAUGUUUCUUUAUGUUCAGGGGGCUUUCUUCUGCGACCUGGUGCUCAUCUACCUCAUCAGGAAGAGCGAGUUUUACCGAGACAAGAAGUUUGAGAAAGUGAAGGGUCAGGAGGAGGAAACCAAUGUGGAGCUCGAAGCCAAC